CACCAAUAGAUGUGUGGGAGUAUGGGAAUGGGAAGGCUGCAACGGACGCUGCAAACUCACUGCUGACACCAGGGCUCUCGUGUGGGACGGAUUUUUAAGAGGAUUGGCCAGGUGUGCCCUGUUGGGUACAGAUCCUUCCGGAUGGCGAGCUAGACUCAAGAGUUUGAACCCUGCAACACACACCAACCUUCUGCAGUCUGGUAGGAGGCUGUUUGAAAGCCAGCCCACUCCCAUCU